UCUUCAUUCUUUUCGGAUACAAUUUUAGGCAUUUUAGAACGUUCUAAAACGCCAAAUGUGAAUUCGUGACACGCGAAAUGAAAACAUGAGUGUUGUUGCCUCAAUUUCAUGCAUUGUCGAAUACAAAAGUGGUUCUCGUAGUGGAUUUUAAUCAGUCAGGUCUUUCGUGAACAUGGGAGUUUAAUUGGUACUAAAUAAAGACAUGCAUCGAAAUGCAAAUGCAUGCAUUGAAUGGGCACUAUUAUGUACAAUUACGAUAUGCCGACAUGCAUGCAUGGAUCACUUGCCUAGCUAGCUGUUUACACGAUAUGUCACUCACUAACGGAGCGCGAAAUGGUCGUGAGGUGAGUGGCAUUUUUUGAGUGGAUGAGUUUGCGGAAAUAGCUAAGUCUUGAGAAAACUUAUAUUUCUUUAUUAAACUACAUGGCCAUAGCAUACUGGCAACCAUGAGAUGAUUGCAUGGAAAAUAUAAGAAUCAGUGCUCUACUUGCUUCACAACAUUUUCCCUUUUGUUUUUUAAUUUCCACAGAAUGACUUCCAUAGAUCGAGGUGUUGAAUGGGUCGUGCAAUUUUUUAGUCUACCUAAUAGCUAUAUAUAGCGUGAUCAUGCAUGUAAACUAACUAACAAGGGUAGCCUACUGUGUAAGGCUGCAUAUCAGCAUUGCAAAAAGUCUACGUCCUUUUGUCUUUAACCAAAUAUGGUGAAUAUGAUCACUGCAGUGCAUCUGUGAUCUUUUUACAGCCAAAAAAAUAAUAAAAUCCGACAUAUUUACACCAUACGUAAACCUUUAUAGUAAUCAUGCAGUAUAAAAUACAAAAAAAAUAAGAUGAAGACAGUUUCGCAUAAUAAUGAUUUCUCUUUCGGGUACAUCCAGCGUAGGUAAUAAAACCCUGGGUACGAGGUUGGGGUACAUCCUGCACGCACACCAGGGUGUUAGUGACGUAGCAUAUGCAUGCGACCACGUUGCAGCAGCAUUGUAAUUGUGUUUGCCUUUCUCACAAAACCAGACACCAGUAAUCAUUAUAUGCGCCCACCGUGACAGUGGUGGGUGGUUUGAUUUAGGGAAGCUUAAUAAAUAACUAUUUGAACAAUGAUGACAAACAGACAAGUUAAGUUCAUUCUUAAUCCUGGGCACGUGUUCCAAUACGUAGACUAUAAAAUAAAAUAAACGGAACAUCACAUGGCCAAUUAAGCGGAUAUAUUUUGGCAGACAAAAAUUAAAGCAAGGAUCAGGUUCUGAGCUAAAAGACAAUACACUCGUGUUCAUUCUAUUUGUGGAUUCUAAUCUCUGUACAUAAAGCUAGAAAUUAAUUAUCUAUAGAGUAGAUUCGCAUUCCCAACCACUAAAAUAUAUAACUAAUGGCCGUGGCUUUUUUAGGAAGUACUGAAACACUGAAGCAUGCAUAGCCUCGAAAGUAUGAAGCCAUAGGCGGAAUGGUCAAGUUUAGCAUAACUAUUAAAUUACCAUGAUGACACUUUUUUAAAGUUUUUUUUUAAUUCGAUUUUUUUAUAACAACUGUAUCUUAAUCUUAUAUAUCAUGCAUAACUCCCGUUUCUUUGCCACAUUUCUCAUACCACUCACAGACGAUGUAUAUAAAGAGAUGUAUAUUAGUCUCGUGCGGAGUUCAAUAACGAAAGCUAUAAAACCUUAAUUCAGUAAUUAGCACCGUUAUAUAUAUAUAUAGAGAGAGAGAGGUUGUUGAACUUGAAGGUAUAUAUAAACUCGCAUGCACACGCGUUGUAUCUCACAAACCCGAUCUUUAAAGAUCAGGGAUAUAACUGAUCAUGCAGUUGUACAUUGAGGUAAUUUACAUUUGUAUCGAUGAAAGGUUCGUUACAGAUAGCGUUAAAAGUGUAUGGGGAUACUACAAACAACCAGACAAGGCGUGGACAAUCUACAAUACGUAGCAGCCAGACUCUAUAUUAUACUAUGGAGACCUUAAUCAAAGUAGAGGCGUGCGAUUUUCACAAGCGAGAUCAAAAAGGAAACCCAAAGUAUAGACCCUCAGCUUUCAGGACGGAAAUUCCAUGAUCACGACGCAUAUCAUAUAGGUAUAUAUAUGCAUGGUCCUUUGCAUGUAUAUGUAUACAUGCACGAUCACCAGAAAUUUGAUGCUAUAUUCAUAUAUAUAAUCUAUUCUAUCUCUAUUUAGUUUAAAAGAUUACUGCUUUUUUAUACUUAGAGCUAUAUGCCAUUCACUAUCGUGUUACCUUCUUGAAACUUUGAAGGGAUAACUAUGUACAUAGACGAAAUCAAUAAAUUAAAAGCAUGCAAUAUUAACAUGAUAAAAGCAUUUUUUUGAUUCACAAUAUGAAGUCUCUCACCCAAGUUUUUAGGAAUAGCAAAGUUACUUCAUUAUGAUUGCGAGAUAUUGAAACUUUAUCAACACAAACUAUUAAUUUUCUUUUUGAGCCAGGGAUCAAUUAAAUUCGUGUUUUUGAAACACAAUAUA